ACUCCUACGGGAGGCAGCAGUGGGGAAUAUUGCACAAUGGGCGCAAGCCUGAUGCAGCAACGCCGCGUGAGGGACGACGGCCUUCGGGUUGUAAACCUCUUUUAGUAGGGAAGAAGCGAAAGUGACGGUACCUGCAGAAAAAGCACCGGCUAACUACGUGCCAGCAGCCGCGGUAAUACGUAGGGUGCAAGCGUUAUCCGGAAUUAUUGGGCGUAAAGAGCUCGUAGGCGGUUUGUCGCGUCUGCUGUGAAAACUGGAGGCUCAACCUCCAGCCUGCAGUGGGUACGGGCAGACUAGAGUGCGGUAGGGGAGAUUGGAAUUCCUGGUGUAGCGGUGGAAUGCGCAGAUAUCAGGAGGAACACCGAUGGCGAAGGCAGAUCUCUGGGCCGUAACUGACGCUGAGGAGCGAAAGCGUGGGGAGCGAACAGGAUUAGAUACCCUGGUAGUCCACGCCGUAAACGUUGGGAACUAGAUGUAGGGACCAUUCCACGGUUUCUGUGUCGCAGCUAACGCAUUAAGUUCCCCGCCUGGGGAGUACGGCCGCAAGGCUAAAACUCAAAGGAAUUGACGGGG
rnacentral:rRNA from 1 species